GUCUGAAUAUGGGGGGACCAUCCUCCAAGGCUAAAUACUCCUGACUGACCGAUAGUGAACCAGUACCGUGAGGGAAAGGCGAAAAGAACCCCGGCGAGGGGAGUGAAAAAGAACCUGAAACCGUGUACGUACAAGCAGUGGGAGCCCCACCACCAAAGCAUUCUCUGGUGUUGAAGGCCCUGCAAAGCAGCAUCGCGGUGGCGGAGCGUCGUUUGCGACGCCCAACACACAAAACAAGCGGUGAGUGCUUUGGGGUGGGGUGACUGCGUACCUUUUGUAUAAUGGGUCAGCGACUUAUAUUCUGUAGCAAGGUUAACCGUAUAGGGGAGCCGGAGGGAAACCGAGUCUUAAUUGGGCGUUAAGUUGCAGGGUAUAGACCCGAAACCCGGUGAUCUAGCCAUGGGCAGGUUGAAGGUUGGGUAACACUAACUGGAGGACCGAACCGACUAAUGUUGAAAAAUUAGCGGAUGACCUGUGGCUGGGGGUGAAAGGCCAAUCAAACCGGGAGAUAGCUGGUUCUCCCCGAAAGCUAUUUAGGUAGCGCCUCGUGAAUUCAUCUCCGGGGGUAGAGCACUGUUUCGGCUAGGGGGCCAUCCCGGCUUACCAACCCGAUGCAAACUGCGAAUACCGGAGAAUGUUAUCACGGGAGACACACGGCGGGUGCUAACGUCCGUCGUGAAGAGGGAAACAACCCAGACCGCCAGCUAAGGUCCCAAAGUCAUGGUUAAGUGGGAAACGAUGUGGGAAGGCCCAGACAGCCAGGAUGUUGGCUUAGAAGCAGCCAUCAUUUAAAGAAAGCGUAAUAGCUCACUGGUCGAGUCGGCCUGCGCGGAAGAUGUAACGGGGCUAAACCAUGCACCGAAGCUGCGGCAGCGAACGUAUCACUUAAAGCGAUUCAGC
rnacentral:rRNA from 1 species